CCCCCUCGGCUGCCUGCCGGGCUGCGCACCUGGGCGCGCGGCGCUGGAAGCCUCGCGGGUCGCCGCGCCAUGGCCUUCACCUUCGCCGCCUUCUGCUACAUGCUGGCCCUCGUGCUGUGCGCCGCGCUCAUCUUCUUCGCCAUCUGGCACCAGGGAAGCCGGGCCAGGCCGUGUAGGGAAUCGAGCCUUGACGUUGGCUGCUGUUGAGGAGAAGUGGAACUUUACCCACUUUAGAAUAAAAGGGUUGCAGGUCACAGUCCAGUUCCCCAGGCUUAGUCCUGCUUCCCUCGCCCGGCCGCGCUUUCGCUCAGAAACAGCCAGACUCACGGCACUGAUUUGCCUCCUGAGCCUUGAGAAGGGAAAUUGCAGUCGUACGGACUUCCGAGUGCACGUGUGUGUGGGUGUUGGCUGCACGGUGCGACCACCUUUGAGUGCAUUUGUCACGCUUGGAAGGAGCAGAAUAACACUGCGUUUCUCACCGGUGGCUCGCACACCUUCUGUGCCUGGGCUCUUACCUCCAUGUGGCAAUUUGGUCCUCAGAACGGAUGUUUUUCAGAAGAGGAAGUUGCGGAUCACAGAGGUUAUAACACGAGCACAGCAGCACAGCGCCUGGCAUGUGAGACUCCCGCCCCAGCCCCUCUUCCAGCAGCAGUCGCUGUUUCUGGAUUCUUUGACUUUGAUGAUGGUCUCUAUCCAAAGGGUUACUUAUUUUCUAUAUAUUUUUGUGUUGGAAUUUCUGAUUGGAGUUAUAUGACUAAUCAGACUGGAAACAUUGCAUAUUCUUUUUAAAAAGAGGGAUUUCUGUUUCUUUUUUAAAAAGUAGGCUUCUGUUUGUAAAAUGAUGCAGGUUCAUUGCUAUGCUUUUGGAAAAUGCAAUGCCACAUAAUGAAAGGAAAUCAGUCUUACCUUCCGGAGGGUCUGGGUGCCUGGGUGCACUUUAGAACAUGGAGCGUGGCUGUGCAUGAGGAGAGGAGAGGGCUGCAGAGGUCUGACUCGAUUCAGGGCCGGUGUGCAGGAGCAGCGUCUGCUCUGCUGGGAGCUGCGGCCGGAGUGGACCUGGUGCCACCAUCUCCUUAGCAGCUGGGACCAGCCCAUGCUGUGGAAGAUCAAACUCAGGCUGUUCAUAUUUAAGGGGCUGGGUUUUUAAGGUUUUUGUAUCUAGAGUCACACUGAGUUCUGGCAGUUUACAAAUAAAACUCAUGUCCAGUUAAAGAUUCCAUGUGCACCUCCUCUUGAAAUUGCCUUGGACAGCAGCGUUUGCCACUGGGGCAGUCUUCAUGGUGAGGAAUCUGUCUCACAGAGGGCUGCUGGGAACCUGGGGAGCAUGCAGGUCCUCAGGGAGCCCCCGAGGAGACCAGUGUCAGG
rnacentral:lncRNA from 1 species